CACUCCUACGGGAGGCAGCAGUGGGGAAUAUUGGACAAUGGGCGCAAGCCUGAUCCAGCCAUGCCGCGUGAGUGAUGAAGGCCCUAGGGUUGUAAAGCUCUUUUGUGCGGGAAGAUAAUGACGGUACCGCAAGAAUAAGCCCCGGCUAACUUCGUGCCAGCAGCCGCGGUAAUACGAAGGGGGCUAGCGUUGCUCGGAAUCACUGGGCGUAAAGGGUGCGUAGGCGGGUCUUUAAGUCAGGGGUGAAAUCCUGGAGCUCAACUCCAGAACUGCCUUUGAUACUGAAGAUCUUGAGUUCGGGAGAGGUGAGUGGAACUGCGAGUGUAGAGGUGAAAUUCGUAGAUAUUCGCAAGAACACCAGUGGCGAAGGCGGCUCACUGGCCCGAUACUGACGCUGAGGCACGAAAGCGUGGGGAGCAAACAGGAUUAGAUACCCGUGUAGUCCCAUG
rnacentral:rRNA from 1 species